UACAGAGGGUGCAAGCGUUGUUCGGAAUUAUUGGGCGUAAAGAGCUCGUAGGCGGUUUGUCGCGUCUGCUGUGAAAACUCGGGGCUUAACCCCGGGCCUGCAGUGGGUACGGGCAGACUAGAGUGCGGUAGGGGAGACUGGAAUUCCUGGUGUAGCGGUGAAAUGCGCAGAUAUCAGGAGGAACACCGGUGGCGAAGGCGGGUCUCUGGGCCGAUACUGACGCUGAGGAGCGAAAGCGUGGGGAGCGAACAGG
rnacentral:rRNA from 1 species